UAGCGUAGGUGGCAAGCGUUGUCCGGAUUUAUUGGGUUUAAAGGGUGCGUAGGCGGCCCUGUAACGUUCAGUGCUGAAAAUCCCCCGGCUUAACCCGGGGUGGUGGCAUUGAUAGCUGCAAGGGCUUGAGUUGACAGAUGAGGGUAGGCGGAAUUGACGGUGUAGCGGUGAAAUGCAUAGAUAGUCGUCAAGAACACCGACAGCGAAGGCAGCUUACUGGGCUGUAACUGACGCUGAUGCACGAAGUGUGGGGAAUCAAACGG
rnacentral:rRNA from 1 species